CCUACGUGGCGCAGCAGUGAGGAAUAUUGGUCAAUGGGCGCGAGCCUGAACCAGCCAAGUAGCGUGAAGGAUGACUGCCCUACGGGUUGUAAACUUCUUUUAUAAAGGAAUAAAGUGAGGCACGUGUGCCUUUUUGUAUGUACUUUAUGAAUAAGGAUCGGCUAACUCCGUGCCAGCAGCCGCGGUAAUACGGAGGAUCCGAGCGUUAUCCGGAUUUAUUGGGUUUAAAGGGAGCGUAGAUGGGUUGUUAAGUCAGUUGUGAAAGUUUGCGGCUCAACCGUAAAAUUGCAAUUGAUACUGGAAGUCUUGAGUACAGUUGAGGUAGGAGGAAGUCGUGGUGUAUCGGUGAAAUUCUUAGAUAUCACGAAGAACUCCGAUUGCGAAGGCAGCUUACUAAACUGCCACUGACAUUGAUGCUCGAAAGUGUGGGUAGCAAACAGGAUUAGAUACCCGGGUAGGC
rnacentral:rRNA from 1 species